GACGAACGCUGGCGGCGUGCUUAACACAUGCAAGUCGAACGCUGAAGCACCAGCUUGCUGGUGUGGAUGAGUGGCGAACGGGUGAGUAAUACGUGAGUAACCUGCCCUUGACUCUGGGAUAAGCCCGGGAAACUGGGUCUAAUACUGGAUGCUACAUGUCACCGCAUGGUGGUGUGUGGAAAGGGUUUACUGGUCUUGGAUGGGCUCACGGCCUAUCAGCUUGUUGGUGAGGUAAUGGCUCACCAAGGCGACGACGGGUAGCCGGCCUGAGAGGGUGACCGGCCACACUGGGACUGAGACACGGCCCAGACUCCUACGGGAGGCAGCAGUGGGGAAGAGUGAACAAUGGGCGAAAGCCUGAUGCAGAGACGCCGCGGGAGGGAUGACGGCCUUCGGGUUGGAAACCUCAUUCAGCAGGGAAGAAGCCACAAGUGACGGUACCUGCAGAAGAAGCGCCGGCUAACUACGUG
rnacentral:rRNA from 1 species